UUUAUACUAAGAAGGAAAGAGGCAAAUAUUUCUGUAUAUAAAUAGUGGCACUAAGUUAUUGUGAUCAACGAACUGAGCAUCAACAGAGAUAAACAAAAUAUUCCCAACAAUGGCUAGAGCCAACUCUCUGAAAUUCGCUUCCUACUUCAUUCUUUUACUAAUCGCUGGUAAGUUAUAUAUAAUUUUAUCAUAUAUAGUAUAUAUUUUCUCCUUUUCUCGCACAAGCAUUUUCUUUUUUAAUUUAUUUUUUUUACAUACAAAUUAAAAAGAUAUACUGUAAUAUAUUAUGCUCCUACUUAUACUCACCUUGAUUCGUAUUUUGAAUUGCAGCUCAAUUUACGUUAUUUUCUAAAACACACGUAACUGCUGCUGGAUGUUGGGACCUGUGUGUCUACAGUGAUGAAUGCACUGAUGCAAAAUGUUGGGCGUGCGAUCUCAAUGCUGGUCAGGGUGGUGGUUUCUAUGGGCGCUGUAUAGAUCCAUCCAUUUGGAAUGACGAAAAAAAGAACUAAAUAUUCGUACGUUCAAUAUAAUACCGUGCGAAUGUUUUUCCGAAUUUCAAUAAUCCAACAUACAAUAUAUCAUGUUGGUAUGUGCAUGCGUAUUUUCGUUCUUUAUUUGAAUCUGUGUCAAAGUCCAGCGCUAGCUAUAGCUGCUGGUACAUAAGAUUGUUGUGUUAUACUUUGUACGUCUACCUAUGUCAAAAUUAUUAUCAAUAAUAAAUAAAAAAAAUAAGUCCUAUCGUGCUCUAUAUAAUUGUUUCAAGAAGGCUCUCGGUUGUUAUGUGAGCCCAGCUGCUUGUAUAUAUGAUUCAAUAAUUAGUAGAAGUAGCAUUCAGUCGGUACUCUUUUUUUUUUAUUUAUUUAGAAAUUGUCAUUGUCAUGUAAUUUCAUAUUUCACAAGUAAAACUUCAAGAUAUUAUCCAG
rnacentral:lncRNA from 1 species